GGGUUCGCAGACCGUUGGUGAGUGAGCGCGCGCUCGGCUGGGCAGAAAUUGUGGCAGCGAAAAUAGUCAGCCUCUAUUCUUCGGAUCGAUCAGUAUUCUUUCCGAGAGUCCGAGAGUCGUGCGUGUGAUUCACACAGUCUUCCUUUUUUCUGUAGUUUUGAGACUUAGCUCCUAAACCAACCAAAACCAACCAACCAUGGCUGAUGAUGAAGCGAAGGCCGCGAAGCAGGCCGAAAUCGAGCGCAAGCGCGCGGAAGUGCGCAAGCGUAUGGAGGAGGCCGCCAAGACCAAGAAGGCCAAGAAGGGUUUCAUGACUCCAGAAAGAAAGAAGAAACUGCGGUUGCUGCUGCGUAAGAAAGCCGCUGAGGAACUGAAGAAAGAACAGGAACGCAAAGCGGCCGAACGUAGGCGCAUCAUUGAGGAACGAUGCGGCAAACCCAAGAACAUCGAGGACGCCAAUGAAGACGUGUUGAAAGACAUUGUUAAAGAAUAUUUCGAGCGUAUGUAUUCAUGUGAAGGCCAAAAGUACGAUCUGGAAUAUGAAGUCCGGAAAAGAGAUUGGGAGAUUUCCGACCUGAACGCCCAAGUCAACGACCUGCGCGGUAAAUUCGUUAAGCCAACGCUGAAGAAGGUCUCCAAGUACGAGAACAAAUUCGCCAAGCUGCAGAAGAAGGCCGCCGAAUUCAACUUCCGCAACCAGCUCAAGGUUGUCAAAAAGAAGGAAUUCACCCUGGAGGAAGAAGACAAGGAGGCUAAGAAAUCGGAGAAGGCUGACUGGCAGAAGAAGUAGAAAGAACAAAACCACCUUUGAUUUAUUCAUUAUUUUUAAAUUUUUAAAUUACCUGGACACCCCCAGUUUCUUCGAGGGUCCGUUUUAUUUUGACAAGUUUUACUGUUAAUUAAUGGAAGGUGAAAAAUUUAGAAAAACAAAUCCACUAAUAGAUUACUUGUUGCAUAGCAACCGCAAGCAGUAAACAGAAAACAAAAAUAUACAAUCUGCAGUUUAAUCAAUGCUAUAGAAAAAUUGUCACAAAUAAAAUGUCAUUUUCUGGAAGGAACCCAAGUAUGGAUGGUUUACUUUGUUCUUCUUUUUUUCUCAUAUCUCGAGUGGUUCUUUUCAAGUCGCAACAUUCUGAUGCCAGCCGCUGCCUUAAAUGCAAUCCAAGUCCAAUCUUAGAAAACGUUGUCCAUAGAAGAAACCCGAAUGGUCCAAGAAGGGCGACAAGGUAAAAGAAGAAACGGCCGAAGCGGUUGAAGCCGAGGCAUAAGCUGUUACUCGUCAUGUUCAUGUCCUCACAUCACUAUUACAUCUAAAGCAACAUCUGUCUAUCUGUUUAUUUAAUAUCGUUUUUAAUGAAAAGGAAAGAAAAAAUAUAUAACUUAUUAUCAAAAUAAUCCAAAUGUGGAGAAUAAAUCGAGGAGAAGAAUGCAAAACGUACCAAAAGCCCCUCGUAUUGUUUCAACGAAACAGAAUGACCCUUCUCAAUGCUCCUGGAAGAAGAAAAGUCGGAACUAUUAUUUUAAAUGUCCUCUCAAAAAGUGUCACUAAAACCCGUAUCCAGUGGAUAACACGUUUUGAUGUUGUUUCAACCUUCGUCCUUAAAUCCCAGGUUCCCUCCCCAUCUUAGUUAUGUACUUAUGCUACUUGUUUUAUCGAAUUCAUAGCGGAAAAUGUGUAUUUGUUUUCGGAUGAAAUAAAAACCAAAAAUCUAAGAGUAAAAAUCAUUCUGUGAACUAAGAGA